GGUGUGGCUCAGCUUGGCUAGAGCGCCUGGUUUGGGACCAGGAGGUCGCAGGUUCAAAUCCUGUCACC
rnacentral:tRNA from 9 species